UCCUUUUCAGUUCUCAUUUGAUUUGCUUAAUUCUGAGUUCAACACCCUAAAACUCAAAGUUUUUUAGUUAUUUCAUAGCCUUCUUCACUUGCUUGAGCCUCCACCAAACUUUAGCCAUAUUACUGGCCUCAGAAAUAUAUCCCCAUAACUUCAUGCUGGAACCUAGAAUGAUCAACUAGGCGAUUGAGAAAUUUAAAAGAUCUGGCUCUUUUCUCCUCCUCAACAUUGAGGAUGAUCCCCAAGGGUGAAUGAUAAGAGCAUCCUGGUUCCAUUACUACCACUCCAAGCUGGGCCAUAUGGAGCAUUCAUUGAUAAUUUACAAUGGCCUAGCCUCUUCUACUAUAACUGUGGCCAUUGGUCCAGGAAUAGGCUCGACUACUUGACUUUAAGAUAUUUAUACCAGUAUCUUCUAGAAUAAACCCUAAAAUCUUUGAUCUCCGCAUAUUGUGCUACUACUCCAAUCAUCUUUCCUCAAUUCCCCUAAUAAAAUUAAAAUCUCCCAUAGCCAAUCAAGGGCUUUGUUGCAAGCUGUGCAGCCUUGUAAAAUUUACCCACAUCUAUCUUUUAUCUUCUGUGGUGUGUAAACCAUAUAUGGCUGCAAAACCGAAGUCAAGACCAAGGGCUUUGAUAUGCACUGAGACUUGUAUGUGUUGUGCUGAGUUUUCUUCAAGUUGACAGUCAAUUUUUUGCCCAUUCCACAUCACCCACAAACUACCUUUACUGCUAUGAUCAUAGUUGUCGAACCAAGACCACCCCAGCACUACUUUAUUUAUUAUUUUUGCCGCAUGCUGCUUCUUGACUUUAUGCUGACUAAUAGCUAUAUUAUGUCUAAUAAAAGUACACAACUCUUUUUAUCUAUGAGCUUUAUUGAGUCCCCCUAAUAUUUCAUGUAAUGAUCUUCAUAUGGGAUUUAAGAUAAUAAGAGGACUACUCACAACUCGGGCAUAACUACCAUGACCUUGGCUCGUCCUUGCUUCUCCUACAUUCAAAUUUGCGCGAGGUUGUAUCACUUCAAACUCAUUUUAGUCACCAGCAUAUCCUUAGUAGGUUGAGAUAUGGUUCCUUUGGCUAACCUUUUCUCCUUGAUAAUUUUUCACUCGAUUCUUUUUAAAUGUUGGAAAUUACUCGCGCCUGCUACAACUGUGUCACCUUCCUGGUCCAUUACUA
rnacentral:lncRNA from 1 species